GUAGGUGGCAAGCGUUGUCCGGAAUUAUUGGGCGUAAAGCGCGCGCAGGCGGUCCUUUAAGUCUGAUGUGAAAGCCCACGGCUCAACCGUGGAGGGUCAUUGGAAACUGGGGGACUUGAGUACAGAAGAGGAAAGCGGAAUUCCAAGUGUAGCGGUGAAAUGCGUAGAGAUUUGGAGGAACACCAGCGGCGAAGGCGGCUUUCUGGUCUGUAACUGACGCUGAGGCGCGAAAGCGUGGUGAGCAAACAGGGAUUAGAUACCCUGGUAGUCCACGCCGUAAACGAUGAGUGCUAAGUGUUAGGGGGUUUCCGCCCCCUUAGUGCUGCAGCUAACGCAUUAAGCACUCCGCCUGGGGAGUACGGCCGCAAGGCUG
rnacentral:rRNA from 1 species